UAUUGAGAUACAAUUCGUGUGUAACACUCGAAGUACUCACAACUCUGAUCACGAUGUAUUACGCGAAGGUUUUCUUGCUCGCCUUGCUGGCUGUGUCCAUGCUGAUGGGCGUCAAGGCUGAAUCCGAACCUGAUCCUCGGUUUGGAAAGGCAGGAAAACGGUGAAUUACGUCUUUGACUACCAACUCCACAUUAUAUGAAGAUUGAACCAGGAAAGAA